AGGGAUUAGUUAAAUAAAUAACAUUAGAAUGUCAAACUAAAAUUACUUACCUUUAGGUAUCUCU
rnacentral:tRNA from 1 species